AGAGCACAAUUCUAAAUGGCCCCAUUUCUCUGCCUUGGGAAAGGCAAUUGUCCUCUGCUCUUAAUCAAGCCUCCUGGGAAGUCACCUGCGAUUCUUCAGAAGGUCUAGGCUUCCAGAGAUAACAACAGUGUUGUUAAAAAUUCCUCACUGUGCUGCUUGUUCAAGGAAAAAAUGAAAAUGACUCUAGGGCAGCAGCUCUCAGAGUGGUUUAGUGUGUAUCAGAAUGACCUGGAAGGCUUGGGACCAUACAGGUUGCUGGGAUUCACCAGAGUUUCUGAUUCAGCAGGUCUGAGAAAGAGACACAGCAAGAGAGGAAACACAAGCAGGGGGAGUGGGAGAGAGAGAAGCAGGCUUUCUGUGGAGCAGGGAGCCCUAUUUGGGGCUUGAUCCCAGGACGCCGGGAUCAUGACCUGAGCCGAAAGCAGAAGCUUAACGACUGAACCACCCAGGCACCCCUCUUCAUGAUGUUUUUACUCAAUGAUUUCAGUUCAGAAUUUUCUAACCUCCUUUGAAUUCCUAGAAUAUUUAUUGUCUUGACCAGUUACAUAGAUUUGAAGAAUCUCACUUAUUUAACAGUUUGCUAUAUUGCAGACCCCAAGCUGAAGCUGACAAUGAAAAGCUAGAAUUCUUGCUUUUGAGGAGCUCCUAAUCUAUCACAGGAGGCAGACAUAAGAUGACCACCUUAUUCAUAUAUACCAUAUACGUGAAUAUGUUACAUAAAUGCAUGUGAUUUAUGUGUGUAUCAUAUAUCAUAUAUAGAUAGAACAUAUACUUCCUUAGAGGAUAAUCAUUCAUUUGUAUAUCUUUCUACAUAGAGGGGGCAAUUUCAUAUCCUGUUAACUUCUUGAAGAUAGUAGUGGGUCUUCUUUUGAGCUAUGUUCAUUAUUUUAAAAAAAUUGGUAGAAAAAUUAUACUUUAUAUAAGGAUUACAUGAAUUGUCAUUUCAGAAAUACAUUUUAUUUAGUAAAGUUUUUCAAAAGUUUAAGUCCAUAGUGGAGGAAGAAAGACAGAUAAAUAGAAAUCACUUUUUCACCAACAACUAGCACUUCAUCAUGAAAAAAGCCUUGAGCAGGAGUUAAGAAGACAAAGUUUUUGUUUUAUAGCAAAUAAUUCUUCUGUAAAAUGAGUGAGUCUAAUUAGAUGAUCUCUAAGUUUCUUUCAGAUCUGAAGUUCUGUGGUUCUGUUGUCUUUUCUCACAAUCCAAAGCACAAUGCCUUGCAUGUGAGAAGGACUAGGUAAAUGAAGGAAUCUGAGUACUAUUUUGGAAGUACCAGACUAUUUUCUAUUCUACACAUUGCUAAAGUAUAAGUAUCUCUGUUUCUGGAACAAAAUGGGGUUCUUAGACUGAAAGUAAAAAUAAAAGUUCAGACUCAGGAAAAACUAUUUAUUUGAAAAUGAGUUAUGUAACAACUUUUAUUCCCUAUUAACUAAAAAGAAAAAAAAAAUCUCAAUGUCCUAAAUACCUUGCUGAGGAACAGGCUGUUUAAAUAGCACAAAGUGAAGUGGAGAUUUGGCAAUUAGUGGGUAAAUUUGAUAAAUUCAGAUUAUGAGAGAUUAUGAUUCAUUCUAGGGCAGUUCUUCAAAAAUCAUCAAUCAGAACACUUCUGGCAAUGCUGAACUGCAGAUGAAUUCUUCAACUGACAAUAAUUAGAAAUGAAUAAAACUUAAAAGUAUUUUUCUUUGAAAGCAUCUGAAAGAUACCAAGACAGAGAGAAGUGAGAGGCCAAAAUGCUAGAAAGAAGAGACACACACAGGUAAACAUAACUUUUGUUGCCUUUCUCUUUCAAGGUAUUGGGUGAUUCACAAGUGGUAGAUUAAGAAGCUGAACAGAAAAUGGAGGUGGAGAGGCUGAGUUUCUAUCAGUGUUAUAUAGGUGAAGGAACAAUACUGGAAUCCAGAGCCCACCAAGAAAGAAGGGCUCUAGUUAACAUUUCAGUCUGUCAUUUGGGAUCCCCAAAAGAUUGCAUCCUAGGAGUAAGGAAGAAAUAGAAAUAGACAACUAUUACAAAAAAUGAAAUCCUUUUUCUUACCAGCUAGCUCUUGAUUGGGUUAAAGUGAUCUGCUCUUACUCUGAAUACUUGCCAGAAGCAAAAGUAAAAAAUCUCUGGAGGACUAUAAUAUCACACAGAGCCUUGGAUUAUCUCCAUACCUUUUCAUCUUCAAUGUCUGGUGUGCAAUAAAACUUUACUAGGCAUACUAGCAGACAAACCAAAUGAUCAAAAAUCAAGCAGAAAACCAGAAAAUGGCUAUAGAACAACAAAAAUAUCCAAUAUUUGAGGUAGCCCACACAGGCUUUAAAAUAAUAUGUUUAAGAGAUUCGAU